rnacentral:rRNA from 1 species
GAUGAACGCUGGCGGCGUGCUUAACACAUGCAAGUCGAACGAUGAAGCCCAGCUUGCUGGGUGGAUUAGUGGCGAACGGGUGAGUAACACGUGAGUAACCUGCCCUUGACUCUGGGAUAAGCCUGGGAAACUGUGUCUAAUACUGGAUAUGACUUCUCAUCGCAUGGUGGGGGGUGGGAAGAUUUGUUGGUCUUGGAUGGACUCGCGGCCUAUCAGCUUGUUGGUGUGGUAGUGGCUCACCAAGGCGCCGACGGGUAGCCGGCCUGAGAGGGUGACCGGCCACACUGGGACUGAGAUACGGCCCAGACUCCUACGGGAGGCAGCAGUGGGGAAUAUUGCACAAUGGGCGGAAGCCUGAUGCAGCUACGCCGCGUGCGGGAUGACGGCCUUCGGGUUGUAAACCUCUUUCGGUAGGGAAGAAGCGAGAGUGACGGUACCUGCAGAAGAAGCGCCGGCUAACUACGUG